ACCGGCGCACGGGUGAGUAACGCGUAUGCAACCUACCUAUAACAGGGGGAUAGCCCGGAGAAAUUCGGAUUAAUACCGCAUAAUAUUGCGAGAUCGCAUGGUUUUGCAAUAAAAACUUUGGUGGUUAUAGAUGGGCAUGCGUGACAUUAGUUAGUUGGUGAGGUAACGGCUCACCAAGACUGCGAUGUCUAGGGGGCCUGAGAGGGUAGUCCCCCACACUGGUACUGAGACACGGACCAGACUCCUACGGGAGGCAGCAGUGAGGAAUAUUGCGCAAUGGACGAAAGUCUGACGCAGCCAUGCCGCGUGCAGGAUGACGGCCCUAUGGGUUGUAAACUGCUUUUGUUUAGGAAGAAACUCAGCUACGUGUAGCUGACUGACGGUACUAUAUGAAUAAGCAUCGGCUAACUCCGUGCCAGCAGCCGCGGUAAUACGGAGGAUGCAAGCGUUAUCCGGAUUUAUUGGGUUUAAAGGGUGCGUAGGCGG
rnacentral:rRNA from 1 species